rnacentral:rRNA from 1 species
AUUGAACGCUGGCGGCAUGCCUUACACAUGCAAGUCGAACGGCAGCGGACCUUCGGGUGCCGGCGAGUGGCGAACGGGUGAGUAAAGUAUCGGAACGUACCUUUCAGUGGGGGAUAACGUAGCGAAAGUUACGCUAAUACCGCAUAUUCUGUGAGCAGGAAAGCAGGGGAUCGCAAGACCUUGCGCUGAUUAAGCGGCCGAUAUCAGAUUAGCUAGUUGGUGAGGUAAAGGCUCACCAAGGCGACGAUCUGUAGCGGGUCUGAGAGGAUGAUCCGCCACACUGGAACUGAGACACGGUCCAGACUCCUACGGGAGGCAGCAGUGGGGAAUUUUGGACAAUGGGGGCAACCCUGAUCCAGCCAUGCCGCGUGAGUGAAGAAGGCCUUCGGGUUGUAAAGCUCUUUCGGCCGGGAAGAAAUCGCGCCAGUUAAUACCUGGUGUGGAUGACGGUACCGGAAUAAGAAGCACCGGCUAACUACGUGCCAGCCGCCGCAGUAAUAC